CAGGCUCAGGGGACCGACAAAAGGCACGGAUUUGCAUAUGCUAAUUGCCGCAUGCUCGAAAGCCUCCGUGUUUGUGUAUCUUUAAAGCAAAAAGGACGUACGAAGAGAUUAGAAUUGGGCAAGACACCGCUUCGGAUGGAGGACUGCCAUCUGUAGAAGAGGACACCUGUCCACUCUUAAGGGAAUGCCCACCCCUAGACAGCAUCAGCACCAAAAGGAGCAGGAGGCUUGGAUGAGUGGCUGCCGGAGAGCCGAAGCAGCCCAUCUUUUCAGAACCCGUGCCUGAUUUGCGAGGGCUCUCAAGGCUCCUGCUGGGAAUUCGCUCCAUCAGAGGCUGAUGCCAUCCCUCGGUAAAUUACGCCAAGAUAUAAUGAAGGAGGAGAAAUCAGGACCUGGCGACGGGACUCCCUGGGGGACCUUAAUUCAAAUGGUGCUGGAGCUGAGUUCGCAGGACCGCGGGGAAAGCGCAGGGAGCCUCGCCGGCCGCCGGUGGGUCAGUCAGUCGCAGGUGCGCAGCAGCAGGGGACGCGCUGGCGGGCGGGGAUGGGAACCGCACAGAGGCCACCCCUCCCGAAUUCUGGCCCCGGUCUGGGGAUGGGAAAUCUGUCAGUUUUGUUUUCCCCUGCACGGGCUUCUCAAAAAGGUCUUUCUGCGAGAAACCUCUGUGGAGGUAGGCAUGGUCGUAUUCUCAGCCCGCUGGAGGGAUCUGCCCUGGCCGAAAGGGCAGGUCCAGCUAUUUCCAGAAUGGCAGGGACUGCGACGUUCCAGGAGAAAAAGUAGCAGAUUUGCCCAAGUGCUGACAUGGUUGAAGGUGGGGAUGCGAACCUGGGCCUUCCGACACUAAGCACUCCAGGGCGAGCAGAGCCACCCACCUUAGUUUCCCCCAGUGUUGUGCUGAAAGUUUCUCCCACAUCUUUUGACUACCUCCAUUCAGCUUGAGAGAAAAGUCCUUUGCUUCUGGGAAGAAAUCCAGUGGUGAAGAACAGGCAUGUCAUUUUGUCUCCACCCACCCAGCGUGAGCUGGAGCUCCCCGAGAAGUUCACGAAGAUUUAAACCUUAGAAACACAUUAUAAAAGUCACAUGUGUACAAACAUAUAAAUGCACAAUAAAUAUCCCUCUAA